rnacentral:misc_RNA from 1 species
GCAGUCGCCCGGGUUGCCGCAAGGCCUCCCGGGUAACCUACCACCCUUUGUUUAUUACACCUUGUUGCUUUGGCAAGCCUGCCCUCGGGCUGCUGGCUCCGGCCGGCGAGCGCUUGCCAGAGGACCUAAACUCUGUUUGUCUAUACUGUCUGAGUACUAUAUAAUAGUUAAAACUUUCAACAACGGAUCCUUUGGUUCU